UGCUCCUCGGACCAGUG
rnacentral:miRNA from 1 species